UGUGGGUACUGGGUAGCCCCCAUAGAGACUUGGUUAAUACAAUUUUCUUUCACAGUUCUCUGUGCACUCGAACUUCCACCUGCACCUUCUAUAUAACUGUUUCGCGAGUUUCUAACCAUUCAUUCAUUUACCAACAUUGGUGACCGACAUUUUCCAACUUGAACACUUCGAUCAAUUUUGGAAAUUUUAUUUGUGCACCUCGUGUAUUUUGUUAACUUUGUGAAAAUGUCUAAGGAUUUAUCGGGAUCAGGCGCUGGAAGUAUCUUAGGAGUUUCCGAUAUAACAGACAACCGUCACAUAUGGCGGAUGCUGUUGGCCGAAUUC